GUCAAACUAUUGAUUAUGAAACGACUUCCUCACUUAAGUUUGUUGUCGUAGCCAUAGCAACAACCGGUGCCAAUGGAACAGCUACCAUCACGUUGCCAAUCACAGACGUUAACGAUGUACCACCAACCUUCUCAUUAGCCACGUAUAGCGCCUGUAUUAACGACAACUCCGCAGCAGGUACAACACUUGGGACCUAUACUGCGACUGACCCAGAUACUGGAAAUAUUAUCACAUACUCCAUUGCUUCCGGAAACACCAACACCGACUUCGCAGUCGCCGGAACAACAGGCGUAAUUACUGUAGCAACUGGAAAAACAAUUUCCAAGGCUACCACCCCCACAUACGCACUGGUAGUUAAAGCGGUCGACAAUGCCGCGACA